rnacentral:lncRNA from 1 species
CAACAAGGCGAACCGGGACCCCUGCGAGGCAGGCCAGCGGGGAAAGGUCGCGAGAAUCUGAAUUCAGCAUAUGGAGAAUGGAACUCCAAGCCAGACAAUGCCGCCAGCUGCCGGAGAGCCUGCUGUCAAAAGGGAUUGAUUCCUUUCCCAGUGCUCCUGCUCCACCUGCUAAGGAAUUUGAUGUCCUGGAGCAGUGACCCCCUUCUUGGAGCAGCACCUCCUUUCCCCUUCAUCCACCUCUCUCAUGUGCCAAUUCUCUUCAGACUAGCCAACCAACUGAAUAAGAUUGUGAUGUCAGACCCCAGCCAAUGGGGAAGAGACACAGCCACCACCUGAAAUUAGAAUAAAAACCAGAUAC